CUUGAAUCAAUAUCCUGGAAUAUUAAAAUAAGAACUAAGAACUCAUAAUUAAGAACAAGUCAAAUAUUUAUCAUAUAAUUCAGAAAAUAAUAACAAGAUUCGUCUUAGGUUUCAUUCCCCUUAGGUAUUUAAGAGAUUUAGUUCAUAAGUGUAAAAGAAAACACCUCAAAAGAAUAAUGAUAACAAAACAUAAAGAAAACCCAAAAAC
rnacentral:lncRNA from 1 species